UACGUAGGGGCCAAGCGUUGUUCGGAUUUACUGGGCGUAAAGGGCGCGUAGGCGGCGUGUUAAGUCAGCUGUGAAAUCUCCAAGCUUAACUUGGAACGGUCAGCUGAUACUGAUGUGCUAGAGUGCAGAAGGGGCAACCGGAAUUCUUGGUGUAGCGGUGAAAUGCGUAGAUAUCAAGAGGAACACCUGAGGUGAAGACGGGUUGCUGGGCUGACACUGACGCUGAGGCGCGAAAGCUAGGGUAGCAAACGGG
rnacentral:rRNA from 1 species